CAAAGAAUAGUUUAAAAAAAAAAAUUAUAAUUUUGGAGAUUAUUGAUAAAGAUAUUCUUUUUCUUUGA
rnacentral:tRNA from 1 species